AGGGUGAUAUCCAAAAUUAGUCAUACUCAGAGUAAACCCACUGAAAUCAAUGGACUUAAGUUUAUUGAUUUCAGUGCAUCCACCCUGAGUGUGACUAAUGUUGGAUACCACCCA